UAAUUGAAGAGUUUGAUCAUGGCUCAGAUUGAACGCUGGCGGCAGGCCUAACACAUGCAAGUCGAGCGGCAGCACAGAGGAACUUGUUCCUUGGGUGGCGAGCGGCGGA
rnacentral:rRNA from 1 species